UUCCAUUCAGUAUCAUUUAAGUGCUCUUUCCCAGUGGUUGUUCGGUUGUGUUCGAUCAAUGAGAGGGGCGGCUGCUUGCUGAAGUUGUGAUUAUUCAUUUUUUAACAUCUUUUUUUCUGUCUCCUGUUGCAAAAGUUUAUACAAAGUGAAAUAUUUGCCGAAUCAAUCCGUGCUUGGGGAAGUGGGUGUCGUUAAUGUUUGCCUUUAUUUCUUGUCCAACCUUUUGGGAGCUGUUACAUUGUGUUGAAUCGCUCUAGAUAAGCUGGUUGAGGGGUUGAAAAUUUACAAAGUGCAUAAAAUAUGUUGAUUAGUGUCACGGUGCAGAAAAUCUGGAGGCACCGAGCCUUUCGAUUUGCAAAUUGGGAGGUUUCUGCUUUUGUGUAAACGCACCUGGAGCGAAUGCUCUUUAUGCCCACAAGUUAAUGCCAGAAUCGAGGGUUGAAUAAUUUAGUGUCUCUUCAUUGAUAAGCGCAUUUUUCACAGAGGUUGACGGCAUUUAGUUGGGGUUCGACUGGAGGCAAGCGAAGCAAAGAAGUUCUUCCACUAUUGAACGGCUUCCCUUUGCUGCUGUGUAACAGCGUUGAAGGAGAAUAUGUUAUCAGGUUCAUGGUUGUGUAUUCUGGCACGUUCAAAUCAUAAGUGGUUUGAACUGCUUUAGUGUCGAAGAAUGCCAACAAUCUGUCUGCCAGUCAAGUGAAAAUCACGUAUAAGUGCUGUGUAGAACAGACAUCGCAAGGAUACCUUAAAGCUGCCGGGGUUUGAUUAAUUGGUGGCAGCUCGAGCUUUUCCAUACUAAAGUCGUGUCGCCGGAAGGCGGCAUUCACGAGUAAAUCACGAUGGAUCUCGCCAGCCAAAUGUUGUUCUGCCUGAUAUCCUGCGUGAUUGGAGCGGUGCUGAUGUUGAUUCUCCAGGCGUACGUCUUCGUGCGCUACUUCCGCUUUUCGGAGCAAACGGACGACGAUCAGCAGCAGGAACAGUGCAAGAAAUCGGCCUACAGCGAACCGUACGUGCUACCGGAUACAUUGCUGAGCAACAUCAAAGCGCCGGACGCGGAAAGCAAAUCCACCAUCAUGGCCAUCAAUUUGAUCCAGCAGUUCCUGUAUUUCGAGUUGAGGAACUCGAAUCGGGUCCGGAAAUGGUUCCAUCGGAAACUCUCGCUGGAGUUAGAUGAGCUGAUCAGCAAAACCACUAUCGGGAAACUUUUCGACAAGCUGUCGAUUCGGGAUCUCGAUUUGGGCAGCCAGUUUCCGGAGAUAAAAAACUUUCGACUGCACAACUGCGAGCUGCACCCGGACGAGGGCCACAUCGAGAGCCUGGAUGUGCUGCUGGAUUUGCAUUACGAGGGUAACUUUAGACUCUCGAUUGAUGCCGAUAUGGUGCUCUGCAAGAAAGGAUUCCUUUCGGUGAAAGUACGACAAGUUUCCGGAAUUGCCCGGCUCCAGUUCACCAGGAAACCUUACACUCACUGGUCCUUGAGCUUCAUCGGGGAUCCGAAAGUGGAUCUGGAAGUUCAAUCGCAGUUCCAGGGACGGCAAAUUCAAUCGAACGUCUCCAGCUUGAUAUCGAAUCAAAUUCGGAAAGCGAUCCGGCGGAAACACACUUUGCCAAACUACAAGCUAAGAUACAAACCGUUCUUCCACCGUGUGGAAGAGGACUAUGAUCUCAAUGAAAUAACGCCCAACGGUACGCUGGAGGUGAUCGUGGAGGAAAUCACACGGCUGAAUUCACCGAAUCGUUUGUCCCACGUAUACUGCACCCUAACGUUGGCUCAUAUGCCUUGGGUCCUGGCAAGGCAACAGGAUGACGCCAACCUGAUCGUAUCGCUGGAUCUGGAAAUUCACAAAGCCAAAAAUCAACAAAUCGGAAUCGUUUUCAAACAGACCGAUCAGCUCAUUUUGAUUGAAGCGGUCAUACCGAAUACGCCAGCUUCUAAGGCAGAGCUUAAGAGAGGCGACGUAUUGCUUUCGAUUCAAGGCAAAAAAGUGACAACCAUCAAUCAGGUUGCGAAAAUAAUAAAAGCUCUGAACAGACCCAUGUUCAUACUGCGAAUCGAGCGAAUCAUUCCGGGAGUGAUACGGAACGAUGGACUGCUAGAAGAUCUUGAAGAAUAUGAAGAAAUCGACCCCAACUUGAAUAUAUCGUUCACGAAAAGUGCUGAAAAUGUUCAAAUUGGUUCAACGAUAGCAAGAGAAAAAACUCGGUUGUCCAGAAGAAGUUCCCGGGAUAGUGGAGGUGAGUCCAGCCACUCUAAUACUCCUGGAACUACACCGGUUAAAAGGUUGGAUUCAUCGAAAGAUGUACGGAAAGAAGAACCUUCGACAUCCAAAGGGUCGUCCAUUGAAGGAAGUAGCUCUAGGAAAAGUCUGACCGACUCGACCUAUCCGCAGCACUCGUCGGUGGAUUGUGAAUUCAACUCUUUCAUUCGAAUGGAGGAUCUGUGUAACUUCCAGCUGUUGGAGAACUUCACAUAUCUUAAUGUGAACGUAUUUGGGAAAAGCAGCGAAGAUCACCGGCUGCUGGGCUAUCUGAACAUUCCCAUUCAGAAUGUAAUGAUGGAGUGCAACGAAUCCCAUUUGGGCCAUUACCUUAAGAAGUAUCCCCUGUUACCCCCGGAAGCUAUCGAUGUCUCCAAUCACCCAUUGUCGAUGCAGUCGGGAUUCGAUCAGAACUACUGCUAUGGUGAUAUUCUGCUUUCGUUCGUGUGGAACGGUUCCCUUAUCAACGGAUCCCUUUCGGCCAAGAGUAGUUCGGAAAGCGUAAAAAAGCUUAAACUGAUUAGUAUUAGCAAAGGAUCGGUAGACAAGCUGGAUGAACUGGACAAAAGCGAAAGUUCAGCGGAAUCAAAAUCUGUUUCACAAAUAUCGUCACAGGUACCGAUGCCUCAACCGCAUGACUUCAUUCGUACACAUUUCCACCGAACGACUCAGUGCGAUUACUGUGGGAAAAAAAUCUGGCUCAAAGAUGCUGUCCAGUGUAGAGAUUGCGCGAUGUGCUGCCACAAAAAGUGCAUCAACAAGUGUCAGAGUUCUACCAUUUGUAACGUGGGAGAUUCGAUUCAGUCUACAUCCUCGACUUCGUCAAUGCAGCCGGAGUUCCGGGUAACGGAGGUCGAGUCUCCAACGAUUGAAAUUGAAGACUUUGUUGACAUAGCGGAGGAGCAUCAGUUACAGCAACAACAACAGCAGCAAGCAAAAUCUCGACUAGACUCACAUCGCCAGAGUUUCAGCGAUCUGCUGGCUCAGGGUUUAAAACGCGUCAAUUCAGCCAGUAACCUUUCGAUUCCGAUGGUAUCGUCGAACAAUCAGAGCAGCAAGAGUUUACCGCCCACACCUCAACAUACCCCACGGAAACAAUCGUUGGCCAACGUGAGCACAAAUCCGUUCACGUCUGUCACUCAAAAGCUCGAAAAUCUUCCCGAAGAUGUGAAGGAAUUACAUAUAGACCAGAUCAUCGACCUGACCGCCCCCAUCGUUGAGUAUGGUUCGUCCGAUACGCUGAUGGCUCUGGCAAAAAGCUCAAGCAAAAUCCUGUACGCCGAAUGUGAACCCGAUGUGCGGACUGAAAAGAUCAACAAAUUGCUCUCUAAGCUCCACAUAGCUCUGGAUUGCGAAACGUUGAACCAAUCAUCCCUUAGCACGGCGAAAGAGAGCUCAAUAAAAGGUGAUGAUGGCAAGCCGAAAACCAAUGGAACCCCUAGCAGUUCCUCGGACGCAACCCGUUCCGCCUUCCUGGCUGGCCAAUCGGAGGAGCGUGUUCAAGCGCUCAGCAUCAUCAUGCUGCAUCUGUGCUCCGGUCUGCAGCACGUUCAGGGUAACCUCGGUCAAUGAGAAUAGCACUUGCUUCGCCAGCUCUCGCUAGGAUCCCUGCUAGAACCACCAUCUCGCGCGCUUGGGGACGGGUUUCUAUCGCUGGAGGAUACGCUGGGGGAGGCGGACGAAGCAGAACAAGACACGGAACGGUUCGAUCCCUUCGCCCUGGGAGAAGGAACUUUUCCAGCGGAUGCACGACGGUCUGGCCCGGGAAUCGUUCUUCUGAACGUGUCGCUCUUAAGAAAAGGACGUGUUUACCUUUCUGUGUUUUAAUCAUUCGGUAGUUGGUGAACAACGCGUUCCAUGAACCAAUCAAGUCAGCUCUAUUAAAUAUGUGUGAUUUUAAAAACAAGUACCACUUUGAAGCAGAACUUUGCUUCUAUACGAAACCCUAUAGCAGCUUCGUUAAUGAGUUAUCGUUUUUAAGUACAAAAAAUCUUCUUUGGAUCGCUCUACAUUAGGCUUAUCUUAUAGCUCUAGGAUUGAUCAACGGAUGAAAUUGAUUUUUUAUCACGCUUAUACGUUGUUCAAAGAUUUUUUUUAUAAAAUCCAUAAGUGUAAAACAUAUUUACAAUCGUUUAAAUCGGUUGUAAUAUUUUAAUAUUUUUUUUUAUCAAAUAUUUAAAUAAAAUUUUGAUUUUUAAUUUUUUUUCUCAUCAUUUUAUCCGGUACUUAGAAUAAUGGCCAUAAGUACUAUUCGUAAAAAGACAUGUUUACAUUCACAAAAGUGUUUUAUCAGCCGCUUGUUCUAGUUUUGCAGUAAAAUAAUCAAAAAUGUAAUCUGAGCAUUUAAAAACACCGCAGACAAAAACAAUUCAACACAAUCAAAAUUUAUCGGAUAAAAGUACAGUUCAUUGCCAGUUUUGACUAGAUUAGCAACUUUACAUGUUUUUGGAUUGUUCUGAUUGAAAACAAAAAAAGAAAAAAAAUAAAUAAAAAAGAAUGUAUUACGUUUCAGGUGACGGAACCGGUUUUCGAAUGGAUCAUUAGGAUAGUUUUCGUUUCCUGCAUAGGUAAUGUGUUAUGUUAAAAUUUUCUUUCGACAUAUUGAACAAAUUCUCAUGUUUACCAAAUUUUAAUCGUUUAUUCAAACACCUAGUACGAUUAUUCGAAAACCGAUCCCGUUACCUUGGAAAGCUAGAGAUUAAUUGAACUGCUUUAUAAAUAUUAGUUGCUUGGAUUUUAAAUUCGCCAAUGGGAAUGUUCGAUUUUAAACAAUCCUACUUAAAAUAACUGAAGAGAAAACCACAAACAUGACAAUGAUAGCAUCACAUUCAAAUUAUUUAACCUAGGCAUAUAGUUACAUGAAUGAACAUAUACAGCUAUAUUGUAGUUAUACAACAAUUCAAACCAAGAUUCACACCAUGAUCUUCAGCCAGGAUUUGUGCAAGUAUUGUGAACUUACUCGGUGGAAUAUCAAAUAUUGAUUAAUACAUUGAAAAAGACAUUUUAUGGAAAACCAAC